rnacentral:tRNA from 1 species
GUUUUUAUAGUUUAAAAAAAACAAUGAUUUUGUAAAUCAAUAUUAGAAUUUAAAUUCUUUAAAACA